rfam:Capsicum annuum cultivar Zunla-1 chromosome 12, whole genome shotgun sequence
UGAUGAUGAUGAGGGCGAUUCCCGAUCAUACUCUUGAAAUUUUCCCAAGCAUGGUAAAGAUUCUUUCCACCUUUCUGCCUGAAAUUAAAAAUCUCACUUCUCAAAUA